rnacentral:rRNA from 1 species
UACGGGGGGGGGCAAGCGUUGUUCGGAAUUACUGGGCGUAAAGGGUUUGUAGGUGGCCGGCUAAGUCAGACGUGAAAUCCCUCAGCUUAACUGGGGAACUGCGUCUGAAACUGAUCGGCUCGAGUGCAGGAGAGGAACGCGGAAUUCCAGGUGUAGCGGUGAAAUGCGUAGAUAUCUGGAGGAACACCGGUGGCGAAGGCGGCGUUCUGGACUGCAACUGACACUGUAAAAACGAAAGCCAGGGGAGCAAACGGG